rnacentral:lncRNA from 1 species
AACAGCCCCAGCCUCAGGCCCCGCAGCUGGGACCGAGAGAAUCAGCCACCGUCUGGAUACUUCGGGCCGACGGGUCCAUACCAGGCCCCCACCAUACAGGCGGCCGCUGCAGAGACCCCUCUCCAAAGGCCGCUUCUACCCUUACCGGCUGCCGCUGCUCUGGAGGUGAAGCGGGACCCACACCCGGACUGAACUGGGCCUCCCAG